GACAGAGGGGGCAAGCGUUGCUCGGAAUCACUGGGCGUAAAGGGCGCGUAGGCGGGAUGGCAAGUCGGUCGUGAAAUCUCUCGGCUCAACCGAGAAACGUCGGCCGAUACUGCCGUUCUUGAGGGAUGCAGAGGAGACUGGAAUUCCCGGUGUAGCGGUGAAAUGUGUAGAGAUCAGGAGGAACACCCGUAGCGAAGGCGGCACUCUGGGCCGAUACUGACGCUGAGGAGCGAAAGCGUGGGGGAGCGAACAGG
rnacentral:rRNA from 1 species